rnacentral:rRNA from 1 species
UACGAAGGGGGCUAGCGUUGUUCGGAAUUACUGGGCGUAAAGCGCACGUAGGCGGAUACUUAAGUUAGGGGUGAAAUCCCAGGGCUCAACCCUGGAACUGCCUUUAAUACUGGGUAUCUUGAGUCCGAGAGAGGUGAGUGGAAUUCCGAGUGUAGAGGUGAAAUUCGUAGAUAUUCGGAGGAACACCAGUGGCGAAGGCGGCUCACUGGCUCGGUACUGACGCUGAGGAGCGAAAGCGUGGGUAGCGAACAGG